rnacentral:lncRNA from 1 species
CAUAACUGCCACGUAUUAUUUUUAUUAAUUCCACAUAAGCUAUUUUGAUCAGACUCUUCAGCUGCAGAGCCAUCAGGAGAUCUCACAGCAGGCAACUGCAGAGGAGAGAUUGGAGAUUUACAUGCAGAAAAUCUUUCCUUCCUCAAGAAAUCCAACAAAGAAUCCUUGUAAGCACCAGGUGCAAGAAAACCAAGGUUUCCUUCUAGCUUAGAAGACACCGAGCUCCUUUUUGCAACGUGGUGUGUUGGUGA